ACGUGACCUCACUCAGGUCACGACGGGACCCUGUUUUGGAAAGGGCAAGACUACCGCUAUUGUCAUUGCCCCUUUCCUUGAGAUAAUAAUAGCCGCGCGGAAAGAAGACAUGACCAGAGACACGUAUCCUCCUCUCCUUUCCUCGACGCGCGUCGCGAGGCCUUUUGUCGUGAUUUUGCCACGGAGUUUAUGAAUGAGCUGCAGGAAGUAACACUCAGCUGGGGAAGGGCGCUUGAAUAAUGUGUCAACCGCGGGGCCCUCAAAUGUCUCAGGGGAGUUUGUGAGCUCACACAAUCCAUGCAAUUGUCUUACGGAGUUGGAUCAUUUUUAUGUGUGUUUUUUUUUUUUCUUUAGCGCGUGGAGUUUCUCUACGUGUCACGUGAUAGUUGUCCGUUCACUCGUGUGUGGAAGCUCGCGCGUCAUAGCGGAACCAUGCAGAUGUCCAUGUUUCUCAAGUUGGUGGUGGUCACUAUAAUGUCUGUGACGAUCAUUCCGUAGCCCGCUUCUCAACGGUCAGACACUGAUUUGGAAGGGCUUUAUCACAGAGGACACAGAGUUAUUUUUGCUAAAAUCACUCAUCAAACCUGACAGAGUUUAAGUAACCUGCAGUACAAUACAAUGAUGUUGACACGUCAGAGCCGAGCCACUCCUGUGGGAUGCAAGUUUCAUGUUGCAGGCCGAACCUAAUCUGCAGAUAUACAGUUUAAGGAACGGGCACAUCCUGUAUAUGAAAAAAAACACAGAUCCCGGUCGGAAAACCGUGGAAAUAUGCAGAAAAGAGAAGUGGGACAAUAGGCCGGAUCUACGGCAGUUCCUAAAAGCCUCGAUGUUAUGAAGCACUGCAGUUUAUUUCACACAUUAAUCUAAUGCAAAUGCCCAGGCAUGAAAACAUGGACAUUUGUGGGAUAAGAAACUGGU